AGAGUUUGAUCCUGGCUCAGGAUGAACGCUAGCGGCAGGCUUAACACAUGCAAGUCGAACGGUAAGGCUCAGCUUGCUGAGUACACGAGUGACACACGGGUGAGUAACACGUAUGCAACCUACCUUCAACUGGAGAAUACCCCCGAGAAAUUGGGAAUAAUACUCCAUAAUUUACAGAAUUCGCAUGUUUUCUGUAUUAAAGCUCCGGCGGUUGAAGAUGGGCAUGCGCGACAUUAGUUUGUUGGUGAGGUAACGGCUCACCAAGACUGCGAUGUUUAGGGGCUCUGAGAGGACUAUCCCCCACACUGGUACUGAGACACGGACCAGACUCCUACGGGAGGCAGCAGUGAGGAAUAUUGGGCAAUGGGUGCAAACCUGACCCAGCCAUGCCGCGUGCAGGAUGACGGCCCUAUGGGUUGUAAACUGCUUUUCUAUAGGAAGAAACCUUACUACGUGUAGUAAGCUGACGGUACUAUAGGAAUAAGCACCGGCUAACUCCGUGCCAGCAGCCGCGGUAAUACGGAGGGUGCAAGCGUUAUCCGGAUUUAUUGGGUUUAAAGGGUGCGUAGGCGGAAUGAUAAGUCAGCGGUGAAAUCCCACAGCUUAACUGUGGAACUGCCAUUGAUACUGCCAUUCUUGAGUACAGUUGAAGUGGAUGGAAUGUGUUAUGUAGCGGUGAAAUGCUUAGAUAUGACACAGAACACCGAUAGCGAAGGCAGUUCACUAAACUGUAACUGACGCUGAGGCACAAAAGCGUGGGGAGCAAACAGGAUUAGAUACCCUGGUAGUCCACGCCGUAAACGAUGAUAACUCGAUGUGUGCGAUAUACAGUACGCGUCCAAGCGAAAGUGUUAAGUUAUCCACCUGGGAAGUACGUUCGCAAGAAUGAAACUCAAAGGAAUUGACGGGGGCCCGCACAAGCGGAGGAGCAUGUGGUUUAAUUCGAUGAUACGCGAGGAACCUUACCUGGGCUUAAAUGUAGAACGACGUAUUGGGAAACCAGUAUUUCUUCGGACGGUCUACAAGGUGCUGCAUGGUUGUCGUCAGCUCGUGCCGUGAGGUGUCGGGUUAAGUCCCAUAACGAGCGCAACCCCUAUUCUUAGUUGCCAGCAUGUAAUGAUGGGGACUCUAAGAAAACUGCCUACGCAAGUAGUGAGGAAGGUGGGGAUGACGUCAAAUCAGCACGGCCCUUAUGUCCAGGGCUACACACGUGCUACAAUGGUUGGUACAGAGGGUCGCUACCUGGCAACAGGAUGCUAAUCUCUAAAACCAAUCUCAGUUCGGAUUGAAGUCUGCAACUCGACUUCAUGAAGUUGGAUUCGCUAGUAAUCGCGUAUCAGCAAUGACGCGGUGAAUACGUUCCCGGGCCUUGUACACACCGCCCGUCAAGCCAUGGGAGUUGGGGGUACCUGAAGUCGAUAACCGCAAGGAGUCGCCUAGGGUAAAACCAAUGACUGGGGCUAAGUCGGAACAAGGUA
rnacentral:rRNA from 1 species